rnacentral:rRNA from 1 species
AAAUUGAAGAGUUUGAUCAUGGCUCAGAUUGAACGCUGGCGGCAGGCCUAACACAUGCAAGUCGAGCGGUAGCACAGAGAGCUUGCUCUCGGGUGACGAGCGGCGGACGGGUGAGUAAUGUCUGGGAAACUGCCUGAUGGAGGGGGGUAACUACUGGAAACGGUAGCUAAUACCGCAUAA